rnacentral:lncRNA from 1 species
UCCCAUGUGGAGGCAAUCUGAGUGUUGAAGAGAAACCACAGCCUAUGGAAGGGACCCCUGAGUGUUGAAGAGAAAUCACAGGCGGCAGUGAUUGUGGCUUCCUUCGUCGUUGUGUGUACACCAGCGGUCACCUGUCUUUGCACCCCACUCUGAAGCCUGCAAUGGGGCAGCGAUUGCAGCUUCCUUCGUCGUUGUGUGUACGCCGGCGGUCAC